AUGACUUUAAAUUAUAUGUAUAGGCAAAAAAAAAAACUCUUUUUGGGUUUCAGGAUAUUUUUCAACCAAAAUUUGUAUAUUAAUCUAACUUUCAUGGAGGAACCAUUAGCUCUUUGGUUACUGCCUCAAAUUCUAUGCAUGACACACUUUUAGUUAUGACUUGUAAAACUAUACUUAGCAUACUGUGUAGCAAAUAAAUAGCAAAUGUUCAUCUUUAACCUAAAGAUUUGAAAAUGCCGUUGGUUAUUUACAGGGCCUAACAUUAAACCAACUGAUGGAAAUGAUAACUGAACUUGUAACAGUUUUAUUGCAAAGCACAAUAUUAUAAAUUAGAUAUCGUGAUUGAGUUGAAACCAAAUUAUUGUUAAGGUUGUUUUUUUUUUUGUUUUUUUUAAUUGUAACAAGCAGACUAAAAUUCAAACAUGAGUGGAUACCAAUUUAUUUGCUAUGCUCAGUAACGUAAAACAAUGCUAGACAUAGCAUAAAUGCAUUUAUAUUGAUUUGUAUGAUAUAACCUAAGCUAAAAUAAUGACUUGUGGAUUGAUGUGAAUGCCAACAAAUGGGAAUAAUGCUCAGAAUGCUUGUGGCUUAAACAUUUCUGAUGACGUUCAUUGCCAUGGAUUGAUUUUAUCGGGUUACAAGAAAAGGAAGGAUAUGGAUUUAAUUGUGAACUGUUUGUAGGCUACUGAUUUUAGUAGGAUACUGAUCAUGCUAGCUACGGCAUUCGAGUCCACACGCAUCCAACUAAGUUACAGCCUGAUGAAUAAUCUGCAUUACAAAAAGAAAAAGAAAAAAUCUUUAAAGGUUAUUCACGCUUAGGCUACAUAUUGCUGCCAAGGUAUCUAAUCUUUAAAGUGCUUUGUUAUAUGGAGCUGUUUGGUAGAUCAUGAUCUAAUUCGUUUGUCUACACCAUAAUUAAAAUGCGGCAGACUUUAAUGGACAGUAAAACAAAGACAGAACACCGUAUAACUCCAAACCGGCACCGUAGCUUCAUAUUGAGGCGCAGCUAAACAAAGGCAGAAUGUUGUAACUCAAUUUGAGUGUUCCAAACAAAAUGAAAGAGUGGUAGCUGGUGUUAUACAGUGUUCUGCCUUGGUUUCUCCGGGGCUUUUUUCGAAGUUAUGGUUGAGACGACCCAUUAUUUUCUCAGAAAAACAAUGAAAAUUGACUCAAGAUACUUAUACACAUGUUAAAGGAUGUCUUGAAUGUCCCAAAAAUAUCAAUAACUAAUUUUUGACAAAAAUUCGAAGUUACAGUCUUUUGUCUUUGCACGGCAUUGUAGUGUUCCUUAGUUCCUUCUUGAUCUGAUUGUUUGCUGCCUGCUCUGAACUUCACCUGUUUUUUGGCUUACUCUUUUGGAUUAUGCCUGUUUGCUGUUGAUUGACUCUGCCUGUUUUGACGACUCUUGUAAAUAAAGCCUGCACUUGGAUUCUCAACUCAAUUGUCUUGCCUUGCCUUGCCCCGACCCUUUGAUCUGAUUGUUUGCUGCCUGCUCUGACCUUUGCCUGUUUUUUGGAUUACUCUUUAGGAUUAUACCUGUUUGCUGUUGAUUGGAUUCUCAACUCCAUUGUCACACCUCCACAUUACACAUUAGCUUGCUAUAUUCCUUAUGUGUAAAAAUAAAGCUUUGAAUGGAAGACGCCCUUGAAGCGCUUGUGACAGUUAUUGAGAUGACAGGAGAUAAACAAGAGACUUCAUCACACUGACCCUCACCAUCACUUGUAUGCUGAUGAAAAUAUAUAAAUAAAAACAAUUAAUGUUGAAGAUGCAGUCAAAUACUUUUUUUAUGUUCAAAAUACAAACUUGAUUAACCAUAAACUCUUAAGGAACUUUUAAUUAAAGCAACAUUGUUUAAAUUACUGUAAUUUUGAUAGUUUACUUUUUUGAAACUAUGAGUGUUUUUAUUGCAUAGAAGGUCUGUUCAAAAGUAACAAGAAAUAUCACAUACUUGACACGUUGUGUAACUAUAACACAUUAAUGUGUGGAAAAUUGCAACACACUUUCUGUGUUAGCAGGAUUAACACACUGGUUGAGUUAGAAAUAACACAAAAUGUGUUGUCCUUAACUAGACACAGGCUGUGUUAUUUUCAACACAUACUUUGUUAGUGAAACAGUACAAACUAAAAAACAAAGUCCAAACAGUGAAUGAAUGUGACAAAAACAAAUGUCAUUACAAUAAAAUAGUCAAAAGUGAUUCAUAUUCAUUUAUCACCCUUGGGAUUUGCAUUCAAUGGACACUUUGUUCAAAUUGAGCUGAAGUGCUGUUUAUGUGGUUAAAACAUCCUGUUUCCAAAAGAUUUUUGGAGUGUAAGGUUUCUUCAUAUUUCUACCAGAAUAAGUAAAUCAGGAUAAACUCAAAUCAUGAACAAAUUAUGAUC
ensembl:lncRNA